rnacentral:rRNA from 1 species
UACGUAGGGGGCAAGCGUUGUCCGGAUUUAUUGGGCGUAAAGAGCGUGUAGGCGGCUUGGUAGGUCCGCUGUGAAAACUCGAGGCUCAACCUCGAGAUGUCGGCGGGAACCACUUGGCUAGAGUCCGGAAGAGGAGAGUGGAAUUCCUGGUGUAGCGGUGAAAUGCGCAGAUAUCAGGAAGAACACCUAUGGCGAAGGCAGCUCUCUGGGACGGUACUGACGCUGAGACGCGAAAGCCAGGGGAGCGAACGGG